ACGCUGCGGCGUGCCUAAUACAUGCAAGUCGAGCGGACAGAUGGGAGCUUGCUCCCUGAUGUUAGCGGCGGACGGGUGAGUAACACGUGGGUAACCUGCCUGUAAGACUGGGAUAACUCCGGGAAACCGGGGCUAAUACCGGAUGGUUGUUUGAACCGCAUGGUUCAAACAUAAAAGGUGGCUUCGGCUACCACUUACAGAUGGACCCGCGGCGCAUUAGCUAGUUGGUGAGGUAACGGCUCACCAAGGCAACGAUGCGUAGCCGACCUGAGAGGGUGAUCGGCCACACUGGGACUGAGACACGGCCCAGACUCCUACGGGAGGCAGCAGUAGGGAAUUUUCCGCAAUGGACGAAAGUCUGACGGAGCAACGCCGCGUGAGUGAUGAAGGUUUUCGGAGGGUAAAGCUCUGUUGUUAGGGAAGAACAAGUACCGUUCGAAUAGGGCGGUACCUUGACGGUACCUAACCA
rnacentral:rRNA from 1 species